GCCGAUGUAGCUCAGUUGGAAGAGUUCUUUCUUGGUAAGAAAGAGGUCACGGGUUCAAAUCCCGUCAUUGGCU
rnacentral:tRNA from 6 species